UAUGGAUAUAGCUCAGUUGGUAGAGUACUUGUUUGUGUGCACAAGGCCCUGGGUUCAAUCCUCAGCACCAUAA
rnacentral:tRNA from 1 species